ensembl:lncRNA
GAGCUAGUUUGGGAGUUAAAGAGAGGUUUGAAGAUGGCAGAAGGAGCCUCAAGGAGUAAAGGUACCUCUCUGCAGAAGUUGGAAAAGGUGAAGAAACAAUUCCUGAAGCCCCCAGAAGGUUGACAGCCCUACCCACAUGUUGAUUGUAUCCCAGUGAUAUUUUGGACUUCCAACUUCCAAAACGGUACUUUAUAUUUGGAGAAGGCAUGGAGAAUCCCAGGGACAGAGGAGCCUAAUGGGCUGCCGUCUAUGGGGUCGUACAGAGUCGGACACGACUGAAGCGAUUUAGCCCCAGUAGCAGCAGGAGAUACGGUAAAGUAAAAGUCACUCAGUCGUGUCUGACUCUGCAACCCCAAGGACUAUACAGUCCAUGGAAUUCUUAAGGUCUUAUUCUGGCCCCCGGAGAGACAGUGGGAGCAAGGUUGUGGCGAUAUGCUCCUAGACCUCAAAGGAAUCAACAGCACUCGCAUUUCUGAAAUCUGUUAAGAGGAUUCCGAAGAAAAAGCAAGCAGGUUCACAGGUCUCCGUGUUCUCAACUGUGAAGCAGAGGGAGUGGUUCUCUAAGCCACUUCCUGCGCUGCCCGCUCCACCCCAUGGCUGCCUGUGCGUAUCUGAAGCCACUGUGCUUGUUUCUGCAUCUCAUGCUGAUGUUUUAAUGUGUCCAUGGGCUCCCACAGAGGGACACCAGGCCUGCUUCCUCCAUCCCCUUGAGCUGUUGCUACUCGCCUGGAUUCCCAGCUCAGCAGAGACCAGUCAAACUGCAUUCUGGGGAAGUUAGGAAGGAGUCCACCCUGGAAGGUGGCACGGCCCCCUGGUGGCUGUGAAGGAGGCAACCACAGGUGCCUCCGUGGAGGGCUUGCUCCAGCACCAUCUGCAGUGGGUGCUCCCACACCAGGAGACUAGGGGAUGUUUUCAUGAAGUCAGCACACCUGUCUCUGAGAGCAUCAAGGCCCCCACCCUGUUCUCAGCAGUAGAAGAGUCGCUGGACUGAGGCACAGACGAGGGCAGUGGUGAGGCAGAAGGGAACCACUUUGAAAGGUCAAGCCGGUUCCAGGAGUUUAUUAGUAAAAGCAGGCACUUGGAGCUGCCAGGGGCACAAUAC